rnacentral:rRNA from 1 species
UACGUAGGGUGCAAGCGUUAAUCGGAAUUACUGGGCGUAAAGCGUGCGCAGGCGGUUGUGUAAGACAGAUGUGAAAUCCCCGGGCUCAACCUGGGAACUGCAUUUGUGACUGCACAGCUGGAGUGCGGCAGAGGGGGAUGGAAUUCCGCGUGUAGCAGUGAAAUGCGUAGAUAUGCGGAGGAACACCGAUGGCGAAGGCAAUCCCCUGGGCCUGCACUGACGCUCAUGCACGAAAGCGUGGGUAGCAAACAGG